AGUGGAUAAAUUUGCUAUAGAAAUUGUAAAUGGAUAAAUUUGCAUUUAUUUGUACAAAUGUAGAUAAAGUAAACAUGUAAAUAUAAAUCGUGUUACAUUUCCUGUACAAGUGUGUUGGUUACAUACAAAAACAAAUAUGUUCGCUAUGGACAAACAAGCAGACAGAUGUAUCAAGGCUGUAACCAAUAAGUGGUAGAUGUGGUGGUGAUGGGGCAUCAUGAUGGUGAGUAAUUAUGCAGGUUGUUUCUGCUGGUAUGACAACACACUCCCAACCCAAACUUUUCCAUAGGUGGAAUCCAGCGAUGAAUCCCCACUGAACAUCCUGAUUGUGGUGACCAAAAAAGAUGUAGUUCUGAAAAAGUCCUAAAACAGCUGAGCCACAGAGAGCCCUAGGUUUUGGCAUACAAAAAUACAGUCAACGUUGUUGAAAAAACAACAACAACAACAACAAAGAAAAAACAUACUUGAAAGUGGAGUUUGUGGGAGAAGAGACAACUAGAUCGGUAUAGAUUAGAUCAUGGUGGUCUCCAUAAAUAGACCGGUUGCCGAAGAGUGAAUGAUGGGGGGACCACAGCCAAACAUCAAGACAGAAGUCUGCAUGAGUCAGCAGCUAUACACACCCCAAAGGCUCUUUUAAGAGCCACAUCACCAAGAGCGUCUUUGGCUUUUGACACCAACAUACAACCCAAAGGCUCUUUUCAGAGCCACAUCGCCCAGCAUCCUUGGCUUUGUAAG